rnacentral:rRNA from 1 species
GGGGAAAUUCAAUACCGUCUUGACGGUGUGCACUUUUCUCCCAGUAAGACGCUGUGAUCCAUUAGAAAUCGGACCAUUCCAAUGGUUAGUGGGCUAUCAAAAGGCCGACAUGAAGUUCAGUGGUGUCGAUGGCAUGAUCAUAUACGGUUAUGUGUACGGCCCGCUGAGCAUGUUGAUACCUGAAAUAGCUGUCUGAUGGAUUUUAAAGGUCAUAUUACUGAUACUUUCGAGUAUCACCCAUUACGAUGGGAGUGGAUAUGUACCCGAUCAACAGCGGUUAAAUUUGUGAUACCUUUGGGACCCGUCUUGAAACACGGACCAAGGAGUCUAUCUAGUAUGCAAGUAAAUGGGUAUAUGAAACCUAUUUGCAUAAAAAACUUGACUUUCAAUGGGAUUACGAGUCGUUUUUAAAGACGGCUCCUCCAUCCCGGGGUAUUUUCAUCAACAUAUGCAGCAAUGUAUAUGGAAAAUAUACCAUGAGCGUACUGGAUAUG